AUAUUACGGAAAAGAAAAAAGAAAUUUCUAGAUUACAUGAAAAUAUAAAUAAAAGUAAUGAUGCAGUUGUUCAUUUGCACAAGCACAGAAAAAAUUAUAAGGAGAACUGUAAUGCCUGGAAACCAACCUAUGUCGCUCUUAGCAAGCAUGAAGAGUAUUUAAAGAACCAACUCAAAAUCUACCAAGAAACUACAGAAAAUGACCGGAAAAUGUAUCAGGAUUACAUCAUCCAAUAUAACAACAUUUUGAAGCAACACCAAGAAAAAUAUUCAGAAACAGCUCUUUCACAAGAAUACUAUAUGAAAAAAAAGGAUCUUGAAGAAAUCAAAAAUAGAGUUUUGAAACAUUCUGAACUAUUUAAAUCAAAAGAAGCUGCUCUUUUGGAUA